UCCAUGAAUCCGAAGAACGUUAUUUUCUAAAUCUAUACAAGCUUGAUAACGGCGUAACAUAUCAAGACCAAGUAGCAUAUCAACAUCCCGACCUUCAAUAACAGUAAAUCGACAUGGAAGAUAUAAAUCGCCAAUCUUUAAAGGUGCACUGUGAACACAACCUAAUAUUUUAGCCAUUCCUACGCCCUUAGCGACACCUUGAAAUCUAGUGUCAAGAAGCCUGGUAAGACCGCACUUUUCAGCGCAAUCAGCAGACAAAAUGGUAGCUUGAGCACCAGAAUCCACAAAUGCUUUCACCUUAUGACCGUUAAUCUCAACGUUUACAAAAAGCAUAUAAACUUGACCAAACACUUCAGGAUGGUUUUCUAUUGCCGAUUGCAUAUUCUCGGUCACGGCAUUUUGACGAAUCUGCUCUUCAAUACGUCGUUGGACUUCAACAUCAAAGAGGUCAUCUUCCUACAAAAAUGUUAGUAAAUCACCUUCGAAAGCCCUUUAUUUAUUGUGUCCAUUAAAACUAAAUUAUUGGACUCAGCAGUUUAUACGGGCGCUAUUAUGCGAAAUUAAACGUACAGAAAAUGAAGGCAUUCCCAUCGAAUAUGUAGAAGAAGGAAUCUGCAAUAAUUGAGAAGCAUUAAUGGACUGCCAUGUAGUAGCAAACGCAUUGGGAUCAUUAAGGACAGCAGCUAGUUGAGGAAACUCUGUGCGUAUUCGAUUUAAUAGAAAAGGAGUUGCUAAAAUCGUUUGACGAAUAUUUUCUGGUGUUAAAUUAUUCAUUUUUGUGUUUUCUUAAUCACUCUUUGAGGUUAUGGUAGAGGAAGGACCUGAUUUGGCAGCAUGACACGACUUGACUAAUCGGCCACCCAUAUCAAUUGCCAUCCAUAAAGGAAUGGCCAAAUAAGGAAAAUAAAAACUCAUUAUCAUCCAUUUUUUUUCAGCAAAUAACUCGAACAUGCAGCACCAUGUCGUAGUAAAAGCAUGCACCCCGUAUAUGAGAAUUGCAACCCAUAAAACUGGAUCCCUCGCUUUCUUUCGUAAGCGUAGAGAAACCCAAAUAAAAAAAGGAACUUGAAAGAAAAGUUCUGAAGAAAACAAUGCAGUUUUCCAAGGCGCAGGGAUUAAAAGAAUAGGGUCUUCAUAUGUAGAUAAAUAAAAGCGUCGCAAACCAGAAAGACAGCUUAAAGAGCCUCCAAGCCAUUCAGUUAUAGGUAAAUCAACAAAUAAUGCUGCAGCUAGAUGGCUUACGAAAUAAUAGUAAUACAAGGUAUCCAUGUGAAGGCGUGUGGUUGGCAAUUUGUAUAUCUCACUACUAUAAAUGCGGCGUAAUGAAACCACUUUCAUGAACCCAAAACAUUGAUAUUCCUCAUUCAGAGAUUUUGAAUUGCUAUAGAAAACAAUUUUACAAUUUUAAACGGUGACAUUGAAAGUUAUUAGUAUUUUUAAUAACAACUGCUUCUCUGCGUAUUCUAUAUACGUUACUUAAUAAUGUAUUAUCGUGUUUGUUUUAGAGCACUACGUCUAAAUAGUUUUAUAAAAACAAUACGUUAGAUGUUACACUUACAAGCAAUAGGAAGACGAUUGUUUAGUUU